CCUACGGGGUGCAGCAGUGAGGAAUAUUGGUCAAUGGGCGGAAGCCUGAACCAGCCAAGCCGCGUGAGGGAAGAAGGUGCCAAGUAUUGUAAACUUCUUUUGUCAGGGAACAAAAUCAGGCACUAGCUCCCGAACGAGGGCACUUGAAGAAAAAGCAUCGGCAAACUCCGUUCCAGCAGCCGCGGUAAUACGGGGGAUGCGAGCGUUAUCCGGAUUUAUUGGGUUUAAAGGGUGCGUAGGGGGGCUGUAAAGGCAGCGGUAAAAGCCCGGGGCUCAACCCCGGCGAGCCGUUGAAACUGGCGGGCUGGAGGUGGCGAGAGGUAUGCGGAAUGCGCAGUGUAGCGGUGAAAUGCUUAGAUAUUGCGAAGAACUCCGAUUGCGAAGGCAGCAUACCGGCGGCGAACUGACGCUGAGGCACGAAAGCGUGGGUAUCGAACAGGAUUAGAUACCCGAGUAGUC
rnacentral:rRNA from 1 species